UCCUCUUUACAGAGGCAGUUUGUCUCGAGUCCCCGGCAUUAUCCGCUGGUAACAAAACAUGAGAGUUGCGCUCGUUGCGGGACUUAACCCAACAUUUCACAACACGAGCUGACGACAGCCAUGCACCACCUGUGCACCACCCUCGAAGGCGGCCCCGUUUCGGGGGAUUGCAGGUGCAUGUCAAGCCCUGGUAAGGUUCUUCGCGUUGCAUCGAAUUAAGCCAUAUGCUCCACCGCUUGUGCGGGCCCCCGCCAAUUCCUUUGAGUUUCAGCCUUGCGGCCGUAGUCCCCAGGCGGUUCACUUAAUGCGUUAGCUGCGGCACCGAAGGAAACCCCCCGACACCUAGUGAACAUAGUUUAGGGCUAAGACUAC
rnacentral:misc_RNA from 1 species